rnacentral:rRNA from 1 species
CCUACGGGUGGCAGCAGUGGGGAGUAUUGCACAAUGGGGGAAACCCUGAUGCAGCGACGCCGCGUGAGCGAAGAAGGCCUUCGGGUCGUAAAGCUCUUUUAUAUGGGAAGAUAAUGACGGUACCAUAAGAAAAAGCCCCGGCUAACUACGUGCCAGCAGCCGCGGUAAUACGUAGGGGGCUAGCGUUGUCCGGAAUCACUGGGCGUAAAGGGUUCGCAGGCGGCAAUGCAAGUCAGAUGUAAAAGGCAAAGGCUCAACCUUUGUAAGCAUCUGAAACUGUAUAGCUUGAGAAGUGUAGAGGCAAGUGGAAUUUUUAGUGUAGCGGUGAAAUGCGUAGAUAUUAAAAAGAAUACCGGUGGCGAAGGCGACUUGCUGGGCACAAUCUGACGCUGAGGAACGAAAGCGUGGGGAGCAAACAGGAUUAGAUACCCGUGUAGUC